UACGUAGGGGGCAAGCGUUGUCCGGAAUCAUUGGGCGUAAAGAGCGCGUAGGCGGCCCGGUAAGUCCGCUGUGAAAGUCAAAGGCUCAACCUUUGAAUGUCAGCGGAUACUGCCGGGCUAGAGUCCGGAAGAGGCGAGUGGAACUCCUGGUGUAGCGGUGGAAUGCGCGAGAUAUACAGGAAGAACACCAACGGCGAAGGCAGCUCGCUGGACGGAA
rnacentral:rRNA from 1 species